CCACGUCCUCUCUGACGGCAGAGAGUAAUGGCUGCGGUUGAGUUGGCAAUUUAUCGGCGUGAAAAAUACAACGAACCAAAACAAAUCCGACCCCGAAAUCUGCCUGACCAUAUGUCGACAUAACCCGGUGACGAACUCUUCGUAGUUCCUGUGAAUUUUACGAGUAUAACGCGGCGUUUUGUCGUUGUUUAUGUUAUGAAGCUUCAAACAGCUGGAAUCCGGAACCACUGCCUAUUAAGAAUGAUUAAACCUAUUAAAAUAAACCAGUAGUUAUUAUUAGUUUUUGGGGGGGUAAAUGAAGCCCUCGAUUGAAUGGGUCUGUACUGUCCAUUUAUUGUUUGUGUGUGUGAAAGGCCCGGUUCGGUGAUUAACGAUUAGAUCCGGUCCGGUUCGUCAUGUCUUCCUGGCUUGGAGGAUUGGGCUCCGGCCUGGGACAGAGUCUCGGCCAGGUCGGGGGAAGCUUGUCUUCGUUUACCGGGCAGAUCUCUAAUUUUACCAAAGAUAUUUUACUGGAAAGCACCGAGGAAGUAGGAGAUGCUGCCACUGAGCUUCACGUGUCUGACUCUAGAUUGCAGGAGCUGGAGACUACAUAUGCAAAACAAAAAUAUGAGUACGAGCGCUUGCUGAGAAUAAACUCUGAGCUGGAGGAAAAACUAGAGGCGGCAGAGAUUCAGGUCAAACAGCAGUCAGUGGAAUACAGAACACUCCUGCAACAGAAAGAGGUGGAAAUUAGUCACCUUAAGGCUCGUCAGAGUGGUCUACAGGAGGAGAUACAGAAACUCCAGCGCUCCGCUCAGUCCGCGGCCCACUUUUCCUCCUUUGAUGCUGCUGUACUCCCUGUCACCACUGCUGCCACUACCACUACUAAUUCUUCCUUCCUGCAGCAGCCCUUAGCUGUCCAUCAAGGUUUCCAUGGUGAUGAGGUGGACAUCAGUGAUGUCCUGUGGUCACAACAGGAAAUUAACCGACUGUCCAGUUUGGUGCAUCGUCUAGAAGCUGACGUGUCCCAUUGGAGGAGAGUGGCUCAGGCAGUUAAGAUACCAGGAGCUGAUGGAAAUGGAGACCAGGGUGAAGUUUUGAAACUGCAAAGAACUAUCAAGGAACUGAGAGAGGAAAUGGCACGGGAGGUGGAUGAGCACCAGCACAAACUGACAGCGCUGCAGGAUGCCCAGCGGCAAAAAAUGGCCGAUAUCUCAAAACGGCACAGAGAUGAGCUGGCAGAGUAUGAGGAGAGAAUUGAGGAACUUGAGGAGCAGCAGCAGAGUGGAGAGGCAAACACAGUCAGCACACCAACCACAGUGCAGGAGUCCACCAAACUUCAAGAGUUGCAAUUUACCAUUCAGUCUUUACAGGAGGAGGCAGAGCUUCAGCACAAAAAGUACAGUGAUCUGUUAGCCAGCUUGAAGGAAGCAGAGCGUCAUAAGGCCGAGCUGGAGAGGGAGAAGGAGGAGGCUACAGCAGAAAACGCGGAAUUGCUGCAGAAUUACAGUCGCCUUCAAAAGUCUGUUAACGAACUUCAGGCUCGAGUCCAGGAACAGGAGGGGAAGUCUGUGCUGAAAGCCCAACAGGACAAUAAGAUUCAAACCCUGAGAAAAGCCUUGGCAGUUGCAGAGAAAGAGAUGGGUAAAUUGAAGAGUCUCAAUGAGAGUGGUCCUCAGGAAGCAGUGGAACAUGCUGACAUCCUGGAGCUUAACACCAUCAUAAACACCCUCAGGAAAGAGAAGGAAGAAGUGGAGAGAGACAAGCUUGAGCUUGUUGAGAAACUGAGGCUGUCCGAGGAGAAAGACAGUGCUGGCAAGUCAGAGAGUACUGAAGAACUGGCACAGGAAGUGUCAGACUUAAAGAGUCAGCUGGACAGACGAGACCAGGUGCUAAAGCAAACCAACCCUGAUGUAGAGGCACUCACUGCUGAACUGGAAGAACUGGAUAAGCAGAACCAGGAGGCCACACAGCAUUUUAUUGCAGUUAAAUGCCAGUCAGAGGCAGAGGUGGCCCGUCUUCAGUCAGAUCUCAGUGUCUCUCUUGAUCAGAGACAGACUCUUCAGUUGGAGCUGGAAGCCCAGGGAGAGAAGUUAAGUCAGAGUGCUUUUUCCUUGAAUGAACUGCACAUGGCUAAGCAGCAACUGGAAACCACAGUAAAGGAGUUGAGGGAAAAGUUGAGCAAGUCAGAAGAUCUGGGCAAAGAGCUACGGCAGGAGUCCUCCAACCUUAAGAGGGCGCUGCAAGAGAGGGAGAUGGAAGUUACUGCACUUCAGGAGGAGUUAAAUCAAUCUGUGGAGCAAGGAAAUGAGGUAGAGGGACUCAGAAAGCUACUUGAGGUGAGGGAUAGAGAGCUCAAGGACUUAAGGAUGGAGUUGUCAGGAGUGAAAUACUCCUAUGAGAAUGCAGUUUCGGAGGGCUUUGAAUUGAAAAUUGAAAACAGGAAACUGAAAGAAGACAACACUCAGGCUUCAGACAAGAUAGACUAUUUGGAAAGGCAGGUCCAGGAUGCACAGGCCUCUCCAAGCAGAGUGUCCCUGGAGAAAGACACUCGCAUUGAAGCCUUGAAAUUAGAGAAGAGCCAGUUAGAAUAUGAGCUAAGUCAGGCUGAGAAGCGACUAUCAGAUCAGGCCAAGCAGUACCAGCAUACCAUCGAUGAAUUGACCAGAGCACGCUCAAUGGAUGCAUCUGCACUGCAGACAGAACACGAGCGAAUAGUGAAACUCAAUCAGGAGAAAGAUCUCACAAUUGCAGAGCUGAGACGUGAGAUUGAACAGAUGGUCUCUGACCACAAAGACACCAGCGAGAUGUUGGACAUCACUGUGUCUGGCCAAAAACAGCUCACAGAGCUUCUGCAGGAGAAGGACACCUAUGUUGAAACACUGAAAACUAAAGCUGUGGAAAAACAUCAGGAGUUAGAGACUAGUGUCUUGAGGGCAACACAAGAAUGUGAUUCUCUGAGAAGGUCAUUGGAGGAGAAGGACAAGCAGCUUGGAGCAAUGAAGGAAAAAAACAGCCAUCUUAAAGAAGAGAUUGACCGUCUGAGGGACCAACAAAGCAGACCGCAGCCAAUGUCAGAGCCGAGGACACUGGAUAUCAUCACAGAGCUUGAGACCGAGGUGAACCAGCUCAAAGCUGAAAGAGAUAGACUCGAAAAUGAAGUCCAAGCUCUGAGGGCAGUAUCAGAGGAGCAACAGGCCACAGUGCUACGGUGCCAACAUUCUCUACAGGUACUACAGAGUGAACUAGAGCAAGCACGGUCAAGACACGACCAAAGCUCACUCAAUUACGAAAGACUCAUCAGUGCUAAGGAUGAAGAAAUCAUGCGGCUUCAGUCUGAAGUGGAAGGGCUAAGUACACAGGGACAUAGUCAAAUACAGUCUUUAGAAAUCCUACAAGAGGACAAGUCCCAGUCACUGAGUGGUGAAAAUGGUAAUGAGAAACAUGACCUGUCCAAGGUGGAGAUUGAGAGACUUGUGAAAGGCAUCAAGGAGAAAGAGACUGAGAUUAGCCAGCUAAAUGAGACGAACCUCUCACUUACUAAACAGCUCGGCCAGCUUGUGGUUUCUCAAAAUGAGCUGGGUAAACUCUCGCAGAUGGUGCUGCAAAAAGAUUUAGAAAUCCAGGCACUUCAUGCUCGAGAGUCUGGCGGGCAUGGCCAGGAUGUUGUUUACCUGCAGCAGCAGUUGCAGGCCUAUGCAGUGGAACGAGAACAGGUCCUGGCCGUGCUCAAUGAGAAAACCCGUGAGAACAGCCAGCUGCGCUCAGACUACCAUCGAAUUAUGGACAUUGUUGCAGAUAAAGAAGGGGCUUUGUUGAAACUCCAGCAAGAAAACCAGCGCCUCUCCACCAUAAGCGACCCUUCAGGCAGUCAAGAGAUGUUCCGCGAGACCAUUCAAAACCUCUCCCGCAUUAUCCGAGAGAAGGAUAUCGAGAUUGAUGCCUUGACUCAGAAAUGUCAGACCUUGGUCUCUGUUCUCCAGAUAUCUGGUGGCAGUGAUGCCAUGAGCGGUGGCUCAGGGGGUGUCAGCAGCAACCAGUUUGAGGAGCUCCUACAAGAACGCAAUACUCUCAAACAACAAGUAAAGAAAAUGGACGAGUGGAAACAGCAGGUGAUCACGACAGUGAGGAACAUGCAGCAUGAAUCCGCUCAACUGCAGGAGGAGCUGCUGAAGCUGCAGGGUCAGGUGUCUGCUGACAGCGACUGCAGCACCAAGCUCUCAGUGGAUUACACCAGACUUAUUCAGAGCUAUGAGCAGAAAGAGAAAAAGCUUGGAUUGUUGGGACAGGAGCUGGCACAGGUGCAGCAGACCAUCAGCCAGCUGAACAGCACCAAAGAUGUCCUGCUUGGAAAGCUAGACAGUGUAAAACAUUCACCAGAAGUUGCGGCUACAACUGCCACCCAGGCUUUUGCACCUCCAAACCUGAAGGGGGCAGCACCACCAGUGCAAGAUGAGAGUCAACAUCAGGAACUGCAGUCAUUGCGGAAAAUACUAGCAGAGAAGGAAAGCAUGAUAAGAACUCUCCAGGAAAACAACCACCGUUUAUCGAAUUCUGCAUCUCUUUCUGAGAGUGAACAAAGAAGCCAUACAGAGGAGCUCAAGCAGGCACGUGACAAGUUAGAAUCCCUGCAACGCUCCCUGAGAGAGAAAGAUCUACUGAUUAAGUCCAAGGGAGUCCAGCUCAGUCAGGUGAGUGAAAGUUUACGAAACCGUGAGAAUGAUAACGAGGUCUUGAAGCAGGCUGUCACGAACCUGAAGGAGCGCGCGCUGAUCCUGGAACUUGACGUGAAUAAGCUAAAGGAGGAGAAUGAAGCGAUAGCUGCAAAAGCUCGCGAGAAAGAGACUGAAUUCCGCGCCUUGCAGGAAACCAACAUGCAGGUGUCAUUGUUGCUUCGGGAACAGGAGUUUCAGUUCAGUGCUGUGAACGAGAAGGCCUCUGCAAUUGAGAAGAUGCUAAAAGAUAAAGAGCAGGGUAAAUCUGGUGAGCUAAACCAAUUGUUGAAUGAAGUAAAAUCCAUGCAGGAGAAGGCUGUGUUGUUUCAGCAGGAGAGGGACCAAGUGAUGAUGGCCCUCAAACAAAAGCAGAUGGAGACGUCCGCUCUGCAGAGUGAGCUGCAUCACACACGUGAUAAGGAACAACGGCUAAAGCAGGAGCUGGAACGUUUGCGUAAUCACCUGUUAGAGAUUGAGGAUUCGUACACACGUGAGGCUUUGGCGGCCGAGAACAGAGAGGGCGAGCUGAGAUGCAGAGUGGCACUCCUAGAAGAGAGGCUGGCAUCGUCCUCCAACGCAGUGGAGAGCGCGAGUCAGCAGGCAAGUCUGCAGGUGGAGUCUCUUCAGGAGCAGCUAAAUGGUGCAGUCAGGCAGAGAGAUGAAGCUCUUAUUCAGCUACGUGCCUCUCAGGAUCAAAUCAACCAGUAUGCAGUCUCACUCUCUAACCUGCAGAUGGUGCUAGAGCAGUUUCAACAAGAGGAAAAAGCCAUGUACUCAGCAGAGCUGGAAAAGCUUAAAAGAGAGAAGGCAGAAUGGAGAAAGAGAGCAGAGAAUCUCGAAGACAAGACAGCGGCUCUGCAGAUAAACCUGGAUGAAGCAAACACAGCUUUAGAAUCGGCCUCCAGACUCACAGACCAGCUGGAUCUCAAAGAGGAACAGAUAGAAGAUCUGAAGAAACAAGGAUCAAAAGAGGAUAUUGCUUUUGGAAACCAGUGCCCUACAGAACUCAAUUCAAAUGAAACAUUUCACCGAAAAAAGAGAUCUACCACCAAGAAGAGGUCAUGAUUUUCGUAGGGAAUUAUAACAUCAAGGACAAAUCAACCACUGAAAAAAAAUUUGGAAUGCCCAAUUCCCAAUGUGCUUUUAAGUCCUCAUGGUCGCGUAGUGAUUCGCCUCAGUCCGGGUGGCGGAGGACGAAUCCCAGUUGCCUCCACAUCUGAGAUCGUCAACCCACACAUCUUAUCACAUGGCUUGUUGAGCGCGUUGCCACGGAGACAUAGUGCGUGUGGAGGCUUCGCGCCACCCACCGCGGCAACGACGCUCAACUCACCACGCGCCCUACAGAGAACGAACCACAUUAUAGCAUUAUAGAGGAGGUUACCCCAUGUGACUCUACCCUCCCUAGCAACCGGGCCAAUUUGGUUGCUUAUGAGACCUGGCUGGAGUCACUCAGCACGCCCUGGGAUUCGAACUAGCGAACACCAGGGGUGGUAGUCAGCAUCUUUACCACUGAGCUACCCAGGCCCCCCAGAACCUAUUUGUUUUAUCCAUCCAUAGAUAAAAGGCAUAGUUUCAAAGAUUGAUUUUGCCAUUUUAUUAAUUAAUAUCUUAUAAUUCCAAUGAAGAUUAGUCAAAUGUAUUUUUUUUUUAACCCAGUCUUAGAAUAAGAACCCAAAGUGACCAAGUAAGAGAAUGCCCUUUAAAAUGAUUGCCUAUGUCUUUUUGGGCCGUGGACAUUUGAUGCGUUGUGAGAUGAUGCUGUUGUGAGGGGAAAAAAACUAAUGGCAUGUACCUACCAGUACCUUCAUUACCUGAAACCUAAAAAAACUUAUCUGCACUGAAAAAAUUAUUAUCUGCACUUAAAAACAUUUGUGGCACUGUAAAACAUUUUUCUAAAGAGUCUUUUGAAUGUCAAUAGGAAUAGAAAAAUGUAAUCCACUACAUUAUAUCAGACUCUUUGAGACUGUGCAUUAUGAUUUAUAUAGUGUUCUAAAUGUGAUCGAUAACUAUGCAAGGAUUAAGGAACAUACAUGCUCUAUAUCAGUGUGUGUUUGUGAGGGAAAUAAAGCAGCCAGGUCUGUAGAUAGUAUGGAUAUUUUGCAUUCCUUAACCUCACCUUUGUUGGAGAGAUGAUUUUAAGGCAUGCCAGUUGACAAAGAUUCUCUUUUUUUUCAUCCAACCUGUCUCUCAUUAUCCAACUCUCUCUCUAUCUUAGUCAUCCUUUUCUUCUCCCUCCGUAUUCUGUCAGGCCCCAAAUCAACAAUAUGGGGCUGUCUGUCUGAGACGGAGAGGGUGAGGGAUGAGGCUGGGAUUUUUAUAGCAUCUGUCAAAGAAACGACUGAAGAGAACGUAGACAGAAUGAUAGAGAAUGGGCACAUUUUUGCUUAGCAAAGCACAAGUGCAGCCGACAGACAUUCCGAGGUGUUUAGCACAGACAGGAACUCACUCGCUCCUAUCGCACAGCUAAUGUAGUGUGGUCGCUAGAGGUAAGGUCUCAGAGAAAAAGGAUCUCAGGAGCAAAACCGCCAAACGGUGUGAAGCAGCAAAGGGGUGUUUGAUAUAAAGGAAUUUAGAGGAAAUCACAAACUUCUCUCUUAUUAUUACAUGAGACAUUCCCAAACCCACUUAACCCCAUACCACUGUCAUUACUGCUUAUGUUAAGGUGCACACACACAUACUUGCUAGUUCUAUACAAACAACACUUCUCUGCUGUUUGCAUUAACACAUAACAAAGUCAUACCGCUUUCUCUUGAAAGCCCUGUCUGCAUUACACACACACACACAACGUAGACACAGCGAUUUCUGAAGCCAGAUAUUAGCUAAGCGAUCAUUUCUUUAUUUGUUUGUUUUAUGAAUUGGCCCUUAAGUCUUGACCAGGCCCAUACGUAAUCUGGACUUUUUUUUUCUGUUUUUCCACACUGAUUUGGAGUGAAAAUUGGCAGAAUUCUGCAAAGUAGGUUUAAAAAAAUGGAGCUGAGCUUGAGAGUACUACAUUCUUAUUCGGCUGUAUAUUUUGGUCAUGACCCCGACUAUAACAGCAAUGAUGAAUGAAGUACCUGAGAGAGAGCCAUCUUGGAAACUACUAAUAAUCACACUUUUGCAUU